GCGCCUGUAGCUCAAUUGGAUAGAGUGAUUGCCUACGGAGCAAUAGGUUGAUGGUUCGAUCCCAUCCAGGCGCA
rnacentral:tRNA from 2 species